rnacentral:rRNA from 1 species
UACGUAGGGGGCAAGCGUUGUCCGGAUUUAUUGGGCGUAAAGAGCGUGUAGGCGGCUUUACAGGUCCGUUGUGAAAACUCGAGGCUCAACCUCGAGACGCCGGUGGAAACCGUAAAGCUAGAGUCCGGAAGAGGAGAGUGGAAUUCCUGGUGUAGCGGUGAAAUGCGCAGAUAUCAGGAAGAACACCCGUGGCGAAGGCGGCUCUCUGGGACGGUACUGACGCUGAGACGCGAAAGCGUGGGGAGCGAACGGG